rnacentral:rRNA from 1 species
UCGGGAAUUUUGGGCAAUGGGCGAAAGCCUGACCCAGCAACGCCGCGUGGAGGAUGAAGGUCUUCGGAUCGUAAACUCCUGUCAGAUGGGGCGAAGGUCCACUGCCUAAUACGCAGUGGUCUUGACGGUACCUGGAGAAUAAGCUCCGGCUAACUCCGUGCCAGCAGCCGCGGUAAUACGGAGGGAGCUAGCGUUGUUCGGAAUUACUGGGCGUAAAGCGUACGUAGGCGGUGACUCAAGUCAGAGGUGAAAGCCUGGAGCUCAACUCCAGAACUGCCUUUGAAACUAGGUCGCUAGAAUCACGGAGAGGUGAGUGGAAUUCCGAGUGUAGAGGUGAAAUUCGUAGAUAUUCGGAAGAACACCAGUGGCGAAGGCGGCUCACUGGACGUGUAUUGACGCUGAGGUACGAAAGCGUGGGGAGCAAACAGGAUUAGAUACCCUCGUAGUCCCUGAGCGGGCUGGCAAGGCGCAU